CGAAAGCCUGGCGGAGCAAUACCGCGUGAGGGAGGAAGGCUCUUGGGUCGUAAACCUCUUUUCUCAGGGAAGAAAAAAAUGACGGUACCUGAGGAAUAAGCAUCGGCUAACUCCGUGCCAGCAGCCGCGGUAAUACGGAGGAUGCAAGCGUUAUCCGGAAUGAUUGGGCGUAAAGCGUCCGUAGGUGGUUAGGCAAGUCUGCUGUCAAAGCUCGGGGCUUAACUCCGAAUCGGCGGUGGAAACUGCCAGACUUGAGUGCGGUAGGGGUAGAGGGAAUUCCCGGUGUAGCGGUGAAAUGCGUAGAUAUCGGGAAGAGCACCGGCGGCGAAGGCGCUCUACUGGGCCGUAACUGACACUGAGGGACGAAAGCUAGGGGAGCGAAAGGGAUUAGAUACCCCUGUAGUCUUAGCUGUAAACGAUGGAUACUAGGUGUUGCCUGUAUCGACCCGGGCAGUGCCGUAGCUAACGCGUUAAGUAUCCCGCCUGGGGAGUACGCCGGCAACGGUGAAACUCAAAGGAAUUGACGGGGGCCCGCACAAGCGGUGGAGUAUGUGGUUUAAUUCGAUGCAACGCGAAGAACCUUACCAGGGCUUGACAUGUCCGGAACCUCUGGGAAACUAGAGGGUGCCUUAGGGAGCCGGAACACAGGUGGUGCAUGGCUGUCGUCAGCUCGUGUCGUGAGAUGUUGGGUUAAGUCCCGCAACGAGCGCAACCCUCGUUCUAAGUUGCCAGCAUUAAGUUGGGCACUCUGAGAAGACUGCCGGUGACAAACCGGAGGAAGGUGGGGAUGACGUCAAGUCAGCAUGCCCCUUACGUCCUGGGCUACACACGUACUACAAUGCUACGGACAAAGGGCAGCAAGCCAGCGAUGGCAAGCAAAUCCCAUAAACCGUGGCUCAGUUCAGAUUGCAGGCUGCAACUCGCCUGCAUGAAGGUGGAAUCGCUAGUAAUCGCAGGUCAGCAUACUGCGGUGAAUACGUUCCCGGGCCUUGUACACACCGCCCGUCACACCAUGGGAGCUGGUCAUGCCCGAAGUCGUUACCCUAACCUGAAAGGGAGGGGGACGCCGAAGGCGGGGCUGGUGACUGGGGUGAAGUCGUAACAAGGUAGCCGUACCGGAAGGUGUGGCUGGAUCACCUCCUUUUCAGGGAGACCUGCUUCAUCUAGACCGACCCAAAGUUAUUAGGUCAGAUGCAAGUCAUCCCAGGUCGUGCGAGGAAUAUACUGGGGUCAAAGGCUUUCUAACUCUACUUCUGUUCGGGAUAAGGGCUAUUAGCUCAGGUGGUUAGAGCGCACCCCUGAUAAGGGUGAGGUCCCUGGUUCGAGUCCAGGAUGGCCCACCUUAAGCAAAAGUCUUGAGGGGGUAUAGCUCAGUUGGUAGAGCGCUGCCUUUGCAAGGCAGAUGUCAGCGGUUCGAGUCCGCUUACCUCCACUUGACCCGCUUUAGUUCUGAAAAAAAACAAAAAAACUUUGUCAUCUUCACCCUUUUGUGAUAGACUAGACAAACUCGGGUAAAGAAGCCAGCAACUGAAAGGAAAACUUUCCAUCAGACUGCUGGACAUCUUACCAGCCAGUACCUUGAAAACUGCAUAGCAACAAGUCAGCAGAAGUCAGUAAGAGGUAGGCGUCCCAAGUGGACGUUGAGUAUCUUGCAGACAAAAUGAAUGAAUUGUGGUCAAGCUACAAAGGGCUUAUGGUGGAUACCUAGGCACACAGAG
rnacentral:misc_RNA from 1 species